rnacentral:rRNA from 1 species
UACGUAGGUGGCAAGCGUUGUCCGGAAUUAUUGGGCGUAAAGCGCGCGCAGGCGGUCUUUUAAGUCUGAUGUGAAAGCCCACGGCUCAACCGUGGAGGGUCAUUGGAAACUGGGAGACUUGAGUGCAGAAGAGAAGAGUGGAAUUCCAACGUGUAGCGGUGAAAUGCGUAGAGAUGUGGAGGAACACCAGUGGCGAAGGCGACUCUUUGGUCUGUAACGUGACGCUGAGGCGGCGAAAGCGUGG